rnacentral:rRNA from 1 species
UACGUAGGGGGCGAGCGUUGUCCGGAUUUAUUGGGCGUAAAGAGCUCGUAGGCGGUUUGGUAAGUCGGGUGUGAAAUCUCCACGCUCAACGUGGAGGGGCCACUCGAUACUGCCAUGACUCGAGUCCGGUAGAGGAGUGUGGAAUUCCCGGUGUAGCGGUGAAAUGCGCAGAUAUCAGGAGGAACACCGGUGGCGAAGGCGGCACUCUGGGCCGGUACUGACGCUGAGGAGCGAAAGCGUGGGGAGCGAACAGG